UUUGUGUCUUUAUUCUCCAGACUAUUUUUGUCUUGUUGUUUGGACUGGUAACUUGUAUACGCCCUGUGUGUUGGCGUGACCGUUUUUGUUGCGCCGGUGAAUAAAAUUGACAAAGGACUGAACCCUGCUCUCUGCACCUGAUUCCACCCACCACUCCUCGUUUAUCGUAACAGUUGGAGCUGGAAUUGGAACAUUCAAGCGAUGAACUUCCACAGGUCAUCCGGAUUAUUAAGUAGGUCACCAGAAGAUGCAGGACCAGAACAGCCUGUUUACAUUGUUGGCCAUCCUGGGCUAUACCCUGUUUGCCAUCUAUUCCUUGCAGAAUGCCAUGAUUAUCUACAGGGCAACUUUAUGGUACAAUCUUCAGGAUCAUCACAAAGUCUAUUUCAUAAUUUAAUGAAAUAGACUUUGAUGAUACUGGAGAUUAUAACUUAUAAUAAAAUGUCUAAUGGCUGAA